GCGGACGCGGGACGCGUACCGAGGUCACCGUUCCUCGCCCCGUGCGUCCCCAGAAAAGCAGUGGCCCGCGCGCUCCAGCCCGGCGGAAACAAGCGCCAGGCGGCUGCGCUCAGGAGAAGCCACUGGAGACUGGAGAAAAGCCCCUGGGGGUGGGAGGAGCCGCGGGGGCUUUCCGAGCGCGGCGCGGGCGGCUGCGGGUGGGGUAGAGGCUCCGCGGCGCGGGCGGGGCGCGUCCCUGGCGAGAGUUCAGAGCGAACCCGGGCCUCGCCGGACCGCGGGGACCGUAACCCAGCGGCUUUGCCCGGAGACAAGAAAGGCUCGCGCGGGAGAAUCAGAAGCAGUAACUACAGCCAGCGUCUGGGGCGACGAGCGGCCCCGCCCCUCCCUCUACCGGUCCCCGGGGGACAGGGGCGGAGGUGGGGUCAGGGGACGCUGAGGGCCGAGCCCGCUUCCAACUUGGAAAACCACCAGCCCCUGGGACUCGCCCCCGGCGAGGGCUCCAGGCCCCGGGGCCGGAGUGGGGGCAUUUUUCUCUCCCCCCUGCCCAAGCUCAGAGCCCGUUUCGUCACCUUCGGGGAGCCCAGACUCCGGGACCAACUCUGCCCGGGCCGUGGCCGCUUAAGGCCGGGGAAUCCCCGGACGCACCGCUCGCGGAGUUCGGGUGCACGAGCGAAAGAAGCCGUUCCCUGAGGUCCCGGGCCGGUGGGGAGAACGGUGCCCAGCCGGUGCUGCCCCUCUGAACCGUGGGCGAGCCUCAACCCGGAGGGAUGGAGGGCUUGGCAGAGACCGCAAGUCGCGCAGAACCGGGGCCAGCCACGGCUUGCCGAUGGGUCGGAAAAGAGCAAUCCUGGGGAUUAGGGAGGCGUUAGGAACUUGGGGGGAGCAUCUAGGUGGAAAGGAUCUGCAACCGAACCGAGCCAUGAGGGACCCCACCCUCCCCGCCUCUGGGCAAUGUCACGUGGUGGGUGGGAUCUACAGAGUCGUGGCCGAUCGACCCUGGAAACCAGUGACGGGGCCCUAAAGAACUGAGAGAAGGGCCGCAGGCCAGGGCGGUCGACCAGGGGUCCAGACCUUACCCCCCCAGGCCGAGCCUGACCUCUCAGUGUCUGGGUGCGGGUUGAGGAGGAAGAGCAUGGGAGGUUUGCCAGAGAGCCCCUCGCUUUGGUGAGGUAGAUGCGUCGUGACUCGUCUCCUAGUGGAAGAGUCGGUGCGUGUAGGCGCCUGGUGAGGACCUCCCGAGCCCCGGGUCAUGGCCCUGUCUGACAAGCAGUGCCGUGGGUCACGGGACCGACCCGGAGACCACAUCUCUACUCCGCCCACCCACCUCCUUUCCUUCCUUCUUUUGCGCCUAUCUUCGUGGGCCCACCAGGUGCCAACUCGUGGGAGACCUUCGUCCAAAGAGGAACGACACUGUGCGGAUGCAACCACCGGAGACGAGGCGUGGGGACCCCAGGCGCAGCAGGGCAAGCCGAGGGGCACCGGUGGGCAACUUGGUCCAAAAUCCCCGGUUAGCGGUAUGGGCCCCAGAGAGACUCUGAAGCCCUUGAACCCCUACUGCCACACUGCGCUGGGCCCAACACACUGUUGUGGUCACCCAGUGUCUUCCAGAGUCGCCAGAUGAACAGGAAUGACCUGUGCCCCAGAACCUGGCCGGGAAGGGUGGUGGGACCCAAGCAGCGAUUUCUGGUGAAGACGAGUCCGCGCCUGAAUGCACCCGGAGUUGGCAGAGAACCUGGCCUCGCCGGCUUCGCUCUGAACUCGGGGAUUUCUUUCUGAAGCCAAGAACACCCCAGAUAAUGGUUUACUUUUUACCUUUUUCUGUAACUAGCUACAGAUGCAUAAAUUCCCACUGGGAAUUUCCCCUUUCAAGGUCGACAGUUCUUGUGUUAGCCUUUCCAAACGCCUGUUAAAAGCAGUCAGGGGACUUACAAAUUGGACUGCCCCCUCCCGCCUGGGAGGUCAGGUUUGGUUAAAAUAAGAACGCUGAAGGACAGGGCGCCCUGCCCGCAUAUACUUUUGGGGCGCUCUAAAGCAAGUUGGUCCUUAUCACCCAUGCCACUAAGCAAGGGAAUUAAGGCUGUCUUCAGUGUUUACCACUUCCUUCUUUCCUUUCUUAGAAAUAUGAGUCCAAAUAAUACUGGAAUGGUUUUCACUUAAAGAUAAACAAGAGCAGGGGGUAGGUGUGCAGCUCAGGGGUAAAGCGCUUACCUAGCCUGCCAGGGCUCUAGAUUCUGUCCCAGCACUACAGAAGGGUAAAAGGGAAAGAUUAACAAGUCCCCGGCAAAGAACUAGCCCAGAUGGGUCCCCACCCUCACCCCAUCUUUUAAAAAUAAACUCCACAAAGACAAAAUAUUCUCAACCUUUCUGGAAGACAGCUGAAAAACAGGUAUUUUUGUAAAGCCAACAUGUAUAUACUAUGUGUACAAAAC
rnacentral:lncRNA from 1 species